ACACACAGAGUGUGUGUACGUACACACACACACGGGCUAAUUAACAUAAUAUAUUUAAGAUAAGAGCCGCUCGUUGUGGGAGGGGAGUGUUAUCGUAUCCCGCAAGUGACGUCAUGUCACCUGCUGCCGCAUGACAAGAAGUUGCCGCUCCGCUCGUGCACUGAAAUCCGAGGCCAAGCCCACCUGAGCUAUACCGCUCUUGUUUUCAGAAGCGACCUGCACACAACACAAGCACGGGAUAGCAAAAGAAUGUAACACCCCGAGCGGAGGAAAUGACUCAUCGCCAGAGGGCUCGUUUAUUGCUGUGAAGGCGUCUGUGCCCACGGAAGAAAAGAUGGCUUAAUAAAUGACACACACACACAACACACGUACAACCCCCCCCCCCCCACAACACCGAGCGAGGGAAAUGGCUCGUUUAUUGCCGUGAAGGCGUCUGUGCCCAUGGGUGAAAAUAUGGCUUAAUAAAUGACACACACACGGACACACAUACAGCCCCCCCCCCACAACGCAGAGCGAGAUCAAAGGAAGUUCUGGCCCUUUGUGAGAGCAUGACGGAGUAAGCAUCUGUUUUUUUUCCUCUCGCAAGAGACGCGCAGAGGGGAGAUUUUUCGGAUAUAAACAGCAACAUGACACACACAGUUCAGCUUGACAAUUCAGCUCAACAUCGCAGCAUCCAGCGGCAGAAGACGGUGACCAUCAGCUCGGAAGAGGACAGCAAGCCAGCUCCGGGGUAUGGCCUCGAGAUCAACAAUGUGUGUGGUGCAUCGCAGAGAAGAGGGGCGAGGUGAUGCUCUGUGCUGAAUUCAGCAUGGGCCGACAGAGUAUCGCUGAAAGUAUUCUCAGCGUCAAGCAAUCAACCUCGAGAGAGAGCGCGCAGUAGCGCGACCAGAGCCACCAAGCAAGGGUGCCAGCUGCCAGCGGACAAGCGUUGUGCCGACUCGGCUCAUCCAGCAGGGGAAAGAGCCUGACCAGCCGCCCCGUGAGCAAGAGUGUCAGCGAACCAGCGGCGAGCGCGUUCGAGCAUCUUCAAGGAGAGGGCGCGUGCGGAGCAGCUCCUCCAGCAGUGGAAGGAGCCUGCUGCUGCCAGCGGACCAGCGGCAAGCGUGAUCGAGCAUCUUCAAGGACAAGCAUCGUGCCGACGCAGCUCAUUAUCCAGCGGCAGAGAGAACCGUCAGCCAACGUCAGACGCCGAGCGAUAGAGGGAACCAGCUGUUGUUCGUAUACCCUCCCCCACAUUCACAAACCCACGACGCCCCCGGCGUCUGCUCACACAAGAAUUUACCAAAGAGACAACCCAACGCACCUCACACAAUAAUAAGACUAAUUAUAAAGUGCAUGAACCAUCAGCUGGCCGUGAAGGCAUCACGGCUCAUCGAGUGAUAAGAAUGUCGUUUAUAAGUACAUUCAUAUAUUUUUUUCUUAUUAUUUUAUUUUGUGAUUUUACUUCCAAUUGCAUCAAUUACCAAUAGAUUCAUCGAUACAAACUCAACUUUUCACGAUUCUAUACACUCACAGAGAGAAUAUCGUGUUAAACCUGUUUCUUUAUCAUUUAAUCUUGUCCACGAAUUAAUUAAAGCUUAGCCAAAUAUAAGAAUCUCCCGUGGGAGAGCACGCACCCCGUCGCACACCCUUAUUCCAAGACAUUUUGUUAAUUAUAUAACCUUGCCGAUGAAUCUAUUGACGUAUACUCUUGCCUUUGGGGUAUAAUAAUUUGCUUUAUUGCCUUUAGUGAAUAUCGUUGCAUGAAUUUUUAAGGACUUUUUAUUCCUAUUUGCCGUAUAUGCUCGUGUUACUCUGAGGAAUUAAUCAAUUGUUCUGUUACCCAGUCAACAAACGUUAUCAUUGAGGGUUAAAUGUAUGGAUUAAUGAGGGGAACAUCACCUGGAGUACUGUGACAAUUUCAAGCAUUAGAAUUCGCAUAUUAGAGUAAGGUUUUGUUAGAAAUUAAAAUUGCUUAACACAGAAAUGUUUGAGUGUCUUUCCUGAGUUCAUGCAUAAUAAUCUUAAUUAUAAGAACUGUAUCCUGCGUUGAGAUUUGGAGACCUGACAUAACACACUAAUACAUAAUCAGUAAAUGUUAAAGUGAGAAUUGUAUUAUACCAAUCGAUAAUAUGAACCUAGUCAACGAAGCCGAGCUUAAUCUGGCGUACUUAUAGCACACCUGCAUAACUUCAUACGAUUCAUUGUCUUAUCCCGAUUGAUGACACUACCCUCGUCAGCGGGCCAGGGCCUAAUAAUUGUAAUGGCUCACACUAGCAUAAGCACAUACAUUUGCAUAAAUUUAGUGAGAUUAUAUCUCGAAUUAGCACAAUUUAUGCGCAUAAUUACAUUAAUUAACAUAAUUUCUGAUAACACAUUUUUUUAUUUCAUUUCAUCAUUAUGUUUAUCAAAUAUUCAAUACCUGGCAUAUACAACAUAAGUCACGUGUGACUGUGUAUAUAUGCAUUCCUCUGUAAUCAAUACUGACAUGUAGAUGGUGUGGAUAUUUUUUCUGUCUGCAGCUGACGCUUCCUCUGCAGAAUUGAUCUGAUGGAGCAAAGACACUCGGCGCGGCUCGGUACAAAAAGGCAACAAUGGGACCAGCGUGCAAGCAGCACGGAUCAUCUUGGAAAUUUGACACAGCACCGGAUAACUCACCCAGGAGAGAAACCCUUCAAGUGCAGUGUGUGUGGGAAGGCAUUUUCGCAGU